AGUUGGAUAGCUGGAUCAUAUAGUAGUUCCAUUUGUAGUUUUUUGAGGAAUCUCCAUAUUGCUUUUCCAAAAUACUUGUACUAAUUUGCAGUCCUACCAGCAAU
rnacentral:pre_miRNA from 1 species